AAAGAGGUCCUUAUCAGGACCACUCCAAAGACGAUGAAGCAGGGUG
rfam:Cricetulus griseus cell line CHO-K1, whole genome shotgun sequence.